rnacentral:snRNA from 1 species
AUACUUACCUGGCAGGGGCGAUACCAUGAUCACGAAGGUGGUUCACCCAGGGUGAGGCUCUGCCAUUGCACUUGGGUGGUGCUGACCCUUGCGAAUUCCCCAAACGCGGGAAUCUCGACUGCAUAAUUUC